rnacentral:tRNA from 1 species
GGGCGUUAGCUCAGUUGGUAGAGCAGCGGACUCUUAAUCCGUAGGUCGAGUGUUCGAGUCACUCACGCCCACCA